GAUGAACGCUAGCGGCAGGCUUAAUACAUGCAAGUCGAGGGGCAGCGCAGUGUAGCAAUACAUGGGCGGCGACCGGCAAACGGGUGCGUAACACGUACGCAACCUUCCCGUUACUGGGGAAUAGCCCAGGGAAACUUGGAUUAAUACCCCAUAUUAUAUUGAUUGGGCAUCUGAUUAAUAUCAAAGCUUCGGCGGUAACGGAUGGGCGUGCGGUUGAUUAGGUAGUUGGCGGGGUAACGGCCCACCAAGCCUACGAUCAAUAGCUGAUGUGAGAGCAUGAUCAGCCACACGGGCACUGAGACACGGGCCCGACUCCUACGGGAGGCAGCAGUAAGGAAUAUUGGGCAAUGGACGAAAGUCUGACCCAGCCAUGCCGCGUGAAGGAUGAAGGUCCUCUGGAUUGUAAACUUCUUUUAUCUGGGACGAAAAAAGGUCUUUCUAGAUCGUCUGACGGUACCUUAUGAAUAAGCACCGGCUAACUCCGUGCCAGCCGCCGCGGUAAUAC
rnacentral:rRNA from 1 species